rnacentral:lncRNA from 1 species
UUGAGCAGUAGGAGUUUUGGAGCAUUUGGCUCGGCAUGAGUUGUUCUCUUGCUAGUGUUUGGGAGUGAUUUUUGUGUUGAUUGUGUUGGUUGGCUUAUCAUGGUGUUUUCGGAAUUUGGCCAAGGUGGAGAUUGUUGAAUUAUGGCCAAACAAACAACUUUCGGCUAUUAAAAAAAAAAAAGGAAAAGAAAAAGGGACAACAUUAUGAUGUUUCUUCCUUGUUUUGGGGAAAAGAAAAGCACUUUGUCUAAAGUUUUCUUGGUCCAUGGGAAGUCACGGGGUGACUUGAAUGAAUGGCUAUGUUAUGAUAAGGAAGCUGCUGCCCUUUGUUUUUUUAAGUGAGCAGAAAAUUGGUGAGCCG